rnacentral:rRNA from 1 species
CGGGUGAGUAACGCGUGGAUAACCUGCCUCACACUGGGGGAUAACAGUUAGAAAUGACUGCUAAUACCGCAUAAGCGCACAGUACCGCAUGGUACAGUGUGAAAAACUUCGGUGGUGUGAGAUGGAUCCGCGUCUGAUUAGCCAGUUGGCGGGGUAACGGCCCACCAAAGCGACGAUCAGUAGCCGACCUGAGAGGGUGACCGGCCACAUUGGGACUGAGACACGGCCCAA